AUUGAACGCUGGCGGCAUGCCUUACACAUGCAAGUCGAACGGCAGCACGGGUGCUUGCACCUGGUGGCGAGUGGCGAACGGGUGAGUAAUACAUCGGAACAUGUCCUGUAGUGGGGGAUAGCCCGGCGAAAGCCGGAUUAAUACCGCAUACGAUCUACGGAUGAAAGCGGGGGACCUUCGGGCCUCGCGCUAUGGGGUUGGCCGAUGGCUGAUUAGCUAGUUGGUGGGGUAAAGGCCUACCAAGGCGACGAUCAGUAGAUGGUCUGAGAGGACGACCAGCCACACUGGGACUGAGACACGGCCCAGACUCCUACGGGAGGCAGCAGUGGGGAAUUUUGGACAAUGGGCGAAAGCCUGAUCCAGCAAUGCCGCGUGUGUGAAGAAGGCCUUCGGGUUGUAAAGCACUUUUGUCCGGAAAGAAAUCCUUGGCUCUAAUACAGUCGGGGGAUGACGGUACCGGAAGAAUAAGCACCGGCUAACUACGUG
rnacentral:rRNA from 1 species